UACGAAGGGGGCUAGCGUUGCUCGGAAUUACUGGGCGUAAAGCGCACGUAGGCGGUCUUUUAAGUCGGGGGUGAAAUCCUGGAGCUCAACUCCAGAACUGCCUUCGAUACUGGAAGACUUGAGUCCGGGAGAGGUGAGUGGAACUGCGAGUGUAGAGGUGAAAUUCGUAGAUAUUCGCAAGAACACCAGUGGCGAAGGCGGCUCACUGGCCCAGUACUGACGCUGAGGUGCGAAAGCGUGGGGAGCAAACAGG
rnacentral:rRNA from 1 species